GAAGUUUGUAGCCUUUUCUCUUGAUCAAACAUUUUUCUGCCCAGAAACUUGGUGGGAAAUUGAGUUUGGAUCUGGUUUCCAAUUUUUUCUUGAAACCGUUUCAAAUGGAGAUUAAGGUAAUGGUAUUUAAGUGGGGGAAAUGGUUGAGCUCUUUCUCCUCUCCUCUUCCCAAGUGUAGACCCAAACUCGAUCACAUUUGCUAUCAUGGUAGGAUCUUGUGGGACUUUCUGUCCUCCCACCAAUUUCAAAUCUUUCUUGGAUUAACACCCUAUCAGCAAAGUUUAGGGAAACACUGCUCACCAUGGUCUCAUAGAAGGGUGAUUGCAGAGUAUUUUAGGAAUGUGUCAACCAUCUUUCAUCACUAAUAAGAGACUUUCCUUGAGCAACACUCUUUCCACCUUUGGGCAUACUCUUUGAAUGAUUUUGACUCCUUUUUCAUCAUGCCCUGCAGUUGUAAUCUGUGAAGUGCCACACCCAUGUUAUAUUUGAAAUGUCUCAAGGAAGCAUCCAUCAGAUCCUC
rnacentral:lncRNA from 1 species